UACGUAGGGGGCAAGCGUUGUCCGGAUUUAUUGGGCGUAAAGAGCGUGUAGGCGGUUAGGUAGGUCCGUUGUGAAAACUAGAGGCUCAACCUCUAGACGUCGACGGAAACCGUGUGGCUAGAGUCCGGAAGAGGAGAGUGGAAUUCCUGGUGUAGCGGUGAAAUGCGCAGAUAUCAGGAAGAACACCAAUGGCGAAGGCAGCUCUCUGGGACGGUACUGACGCUGAGACGCGAAAGCGUGGGGAGCGAACAGG
rnacentral:rRNA from 1 species